AGCAGUCGCCGCGGGAAUACGAAGGGGGCUAGCGUUGCUCGGAAUCACUGGGCGUAAAGGGCGCGUAGGCGGCCAUUCAAGUCAGAGGUGAAAGCCUGGAGCUCAACUCCAGAAUUGCCUUUGAUACUGUUUGGCUCGAGACCGGAAGAGGUUAGUGGAACUGCGAGUGUAGAGGUGAAAUUCGUAGAUAUUCGCAAGAACACCAGUGGCGAAGGCGGCUAACUGGUCCGGUUCUGACGCUGAGGCGCGAAAGCGUGGGGAGCAAACAGGAUUAGAUACCCCCGUAGUCCCUGUCUCUUAUAC
rnacentral:rRNA from 1 species